CUUGGUGGUUGUUGCGGUGGGGGUACACCCGAUCCCAUCCCGAACUCGGCAGUUAAGCCCGCCAGCGCCGAUGAUAGUCGAAAGGCGAAAGUAGGUCGCCGCCAAGA
rnacentral:rRNA from 1 species